rnacentral:lncRNA from 1 species
AAGGGUGAAAGAUAUGUUAGUAAAAUCACCCCAAGGUGGCCGGCCCUUUGUGUAGUUAUUGGAGAGAUAUUUCUUUUGGCCUCUUUGUUGUUUUUAACCACACAAAAACCCUAAUGAACAAUAUUUCACUAUAAAGUUCCUUAUAUAGACAUAAGAAACCUAGCCAACAACUUGACUAAAUAUCUCACCCUUUCCACACCUAAAAUGGCCGGCCCUCUUUGUGUUGUUUGGGCUUUGGGCUUUCAUUUAUUUCAAGUCAUCUAAUGCUUGAAUAAAAGCCCAAUGGGUUUAGGCCCAAUGGGCCCAAUUAAACCCGAACGUUUCUUUAAGCCCAAAACGAUCUUUAUCGCUUUUAUGAUUUCUUUAGACUUUCUAAAUUAAUCACAACACUUAAUUAAUCCAAUUAAUUAUUUUCCAUCAUCCAUUAGUUACUCACUACAAUAGUGUAUUGGUGAACAAUCUUUUAGGUUCUAAUUAGCAAGGCAGUGAGGUGAUUGGCAUCAAUCCAAUUGAUUAUAUUUAAUUCAAUCACUUAGUGAAUUAAAACUUCAUUUUAAUUCACCUUUCUUCUUUGACGACUACAUUUAAUCAUCUAGAAGAACUCACAAGCUAUGAGUGACAUCUAACCAUAUGUCAUAGCUACCCAAGCUAAUGUAGAAGUUUAUUUGGAGAACCUAUUCAGUUGGAAUUACAAUGUAAUUUAAUCCUUCUCUAAAACAAUACUCUCAAUCACAUUACUAGGGUAUGGAUAUAUUAUGUCAAACCCCUAAUGUGAUUAUUCCUUCUUAUAUGAUUCAAUUGAGUCGUAUAGGAACACUUUCCUUUAUUACGCUCGAUACUUCGGCCGAAGAUUCCCGAAUCAUAACUUAGAGUAUUCUUCCUCUCUUAUCGAGGAUUAGAGAUUCCUUGUUGCGCAUACACUUGCCUUCAUGACUAAGUGGCUUAACCCCAACUAUGCCGUUGGACAUUCUGAUAGAGUGACUUUUGACAUAAUCAAAGAUCAAGUACUUAACCACAAGACAACGACGAUGCCUCAGGUCAAAGGACUACUUACAUUAUUCCAACCAUUAGAGUUACUUGCUUGACAUGUGAGUAGACCUCCAUGCAAGUACUCUCGUUCGAUUGUGUUCAGUGAACUCAUUCCCUUAAUGAGCACCUACAUACUUGCCUUAGUGUCACAACACGAAUGGGAUGAGACUUUCCAUCCUUCCAAUUGAAGCGGACACAGUAUGUACCGGUCUUCGCAUUGUCAGUAUCCCUCCGACAAUCCAAUGACCAGGAACCUUUUUGGACAUUUGGUUAUGUGAAGAAGGUCUCUGUAGUCUAACAUCAUUAGAUUACUUCUUCAAUCGAUCCAUUGUCCAUGGAUACACUAUUUAGGACAUAUAUCGUUUAUAGAGAUAGUCCUAAUUAGUAUCUUUGCCAUUUGAUGUAUAAGAGUCAUCCAUACAUCGAUUCAAUUGUCCUGAAUGGUUUCUUCCAAAGAUUGACUUUCAGGGCAUAUUUCCAACAAUCUCCCACUUGCACUAAAGUGAAUCACUAGUGUAUCUUAUACAUCUUGUUGAGAGAGUUUAUGCUCGUAAGUUAACUUGGUUAUGUAUUAAUCCCUUUUAUUAUUCAAAAGGGAUUCACUUAUCAAAUAUUUCCAAAACAUUUGAUGAUGUCUUUUUGUUGUGUUCGAAUACUUUGAUGAGACCUUGAUUCCAUGGCUUGAGCUAUCGCCCCAUUACGUCGUAGUAUCGUACUAACGACCUUAUGGUUUGGAUUCAAUCAUUGGUUCUAAAAGAACCCCUUCCAUUCAAAACACCUUUUGAAGCAGUUUCUAAAACAAUAUAUUGUCAUAUAUUUCGUUUGUAUACUUUAUACAAACUUUGCUCCAACCUUGAGACCAUUGUAGUACAAUACUAACAAUCAUUCAUAUGAUUAGUACUUCAUCCAUUAUGAAGUUCCAUUUGUUAAAAUGGCUUAUUUUUCACUUUGGUUAACAACCUAAGUGAAUGCACGCUUCCAGAGUCCCACUCUGAUGUUUCUUUCUUAAAGGCAAUAAUACUCUAUCAGUUGCUUUGGUUCUGAUCCUGGGAUAUAGUAAUAUCUUAAAGUGACAAACUCAGUGGUUUCUUCACCUUUGGAUAUCUACUUCACAAGUCAAUACAUGUGUCCCUUUUGUGAUUUUAUGACACAUUCAUUAUAAGGGUUAUGAAAGUGAUUUCCUAUCACAUAGGAAAAUGCUUUCUUAAAUCUACAACAUUUGAGAUUUAAUUCCCAUAAUCAUUAUUGAGAUAGCCUUGCUAUAUCAAUAAGUCCAAUUUCAAGUCUAUACUUUAAAAUUGACCGUGUCAUGUUUUGUCAUUUCUCAAGUAACAUCCAUGUUUUAUCAAGUCUAUCAAAUAGACUUUAUUCACAUCUUGUUGCUCAAAUUAUGACAUCACUCCCACUGGCCUUGUUGUAACUUAGCAUUCAUUCAAAAUUAACAAUUAUAUUUUCUUGAUUUGAAUGCACAUUGCUCCCACUAACUUAAAUGAAUCACACACAAAAAGAAUUCCUUCUCAAGUAAUUCCAUUUUGAAUGUGUGACUUGCUUUAUCAAGUUUAUUCAUUUAAAUUAUAUGGUGUCAUACAUCAUACUUUAAGUUUUAGUCAUACUAAGACCUUUAAUGUAGUCAUAUAAGAAUUAUCCAAGUCUUUAGUGGAAGCAUUGCUCCUACUAAGGAUAUAGAAACUCAACCAUUCCUUCUAGGUGGUUGAUAUAAUUCUUUAUUAAAACUACAUAGAGCAAUAUUGUUACAUGAGAUGUUGAAUUUGGUUUGUCUUGUUGUUAAACCAUAUGUUGUGACUCAUUUUGAAACUUAUUCCCUUUUGUUUCAUCAACUUGUCCAUAUGCUUGGUUAUUUAGCUUGUUCUCAUAAAAGAGAAUUAUGGACAACUCCCAACAUAUAACCAUUUUAUACUAGAUUGACGAAACCAACAUUCAAAGACUAUUCUUUAGAAUGUCACACAACAUAGAAUUUUAACUUUUGAAGAGCUUGAGUCUUUUAACAAUUAAAAUUGCAAACUCUUAAUAAUAGUCAAAUACUAUUAUUCUUUAGACAACUAUAAACCAAUCAUAUUUAAGUUUAUAUCCAUUUUCACACCUCCCACUAUUUCUCAUGACUUUAAUGAGAAAUCAUUUCAUACAUUCAAAAUGUAUAAAAGUGGAGUAUUUUGGUAGAAGACAUUGUGUAGUAGCUUUAAAACAUUUCAAGCUUAUUUGUUUCAAUCUUCACUAAGUUUAAUGUCUUGUUAUUAAGUGAAUAAAGUCUUUAAACAUUUUAUAGAUUUAGACACUUCUUUCUUGGUUUAAUCACUAACACAAUUGACAUUUUAAAACCUUUUAAAGAAUGCCCAAUUAGUUGUUCAAAAUUACUAAUUGAAUCAAGAGUGAUCUUGAUCAUUGUGUUUCAAGUGAUAACCAUAUAAGAAACGUUUUUCUUAUUACUUAUAUCAUUAUAAUGUGAUCUUCCUUUUCUUCAAGAAAGGAUUCUCUAGCCUUUUUGUCAAUUCAUAUAGAACUCAUAAGUAGACAAAUGGAACCAAAUCUAAAGAUUCAUUGUAUCCUUUUAUGUCCUACAUGUGAGAUCUAUUCACAAUUGAUAAAUCUAAAGUUUGGUUAUCACAUUACAAUAAGUGAUAUAACUCUUGUAUCUCAUCUAGGAUACAACAAGACAAUUUUCAAUUCAUAACAUUACUUCAAGGAAAUAGUAUAUUAAAAAGGCAUUCUUCACAUUACAUUAAUAUGAUAGUUCAAACAUUCAUAAUGUUUAAUACAAAAAUUAUUAGCUCUAUACAUUUAGAGACUAAUUACCUUUAUACAUUUAGGCAUUAAUAGUGGUCUUCCAUCAUAUGAAGCCACAUAAUAAGUUCUUAUCAAAAUAAGAAAGUUUAAAGACAAUCUUUAAUGCCUAACAAACUUCCUAAGUAGUGAGCAAAAAACAUAAUGGUCGAAUCCUUCUCCACCUUUUCCUUGCUUGUUCCUCUUCUACUUGGCUCCUCCACCUAUAUACAAUUAUACAAGUGAUUAGCCCUUUAUAUCAAAUAUAAAUAUUUAGAAGAUCUAACAUUUAGAAUUGAAGAUAAGAACAAAAACCAUACCUUGUGGCUUGUCCUUAAGAGUUGCAAGGUAUAACCUGCAAUUCCUCUUCCAAUGCCCCUCCUUUCCAUAGUGGUGGCAAGUCCCCUUGGGCUCCAUUGCCUUCUUUUUCUUCACUCCUCCUUUAGGCUUAGGAGUGGGUGACUUCUUCUCCUUCCCUUUGCCUUUGCCUUGCGGCUUAGACUUGGAAGAGGAUGGCUUGUUGUAGACUACUGCAGAAGUCCCUACAACGUUCUCUUUCUUCAUAGUCUUCUCAGCAGUUACUAACAUAUUUAGUAACUCAGAGAGAGUACUAUCCAUCUUAUUCAUAUUGUAGUUCAUUACGAACUGCGCGAAUGAAUCAGAAAGAGAAGCCAAUAUAAAGUCCUGGGCCAAUUCCCCGUCAAGUGGAGUACCAAGGUUCUCCAAUUGUUCAAUGAAUCCUAUCAUCUUCAGUACAUGUUGGUGUACUGGAGCCCCCUUGACCAUCUUGGUUUUCACAAGUUCACAAACAGUGCUAAAGCGACGGUUGCGCGUCCCUUCACCAUAUAACUCCGUAAGAUGGAGUAUUAUGGAAGAUGCACUAUCCAUGCCCUCGUGCUGUCUCUAUAGCUCCUCAUUCAUGGAAGCCAACAGAUAGCACUUGGCUUGUGUGUCAUCCUUAACGUGCAUGUCAAACUUAGCACGUUCAUCCUCAGUAGCCUCAAGGCCGAGAGGUAUGUAAGGUGGGGCCUUGUCUAGUACGUAAACAAUCUUCUCUAAUGUUAGGAGAAUCUUGACAUUACGAUACCACGAUGGGAAAUUGUGCCCCUCUAGGCAAUGUUGUCGAGUAUUUUCGCGAGUGUGCUUCCAACCAUAUCUAUAUACAUAAACAAAUAAAAUAAUUAGAUUGAUUGUUGAUUAAGUCAAACGAUUCGGGUCUUUAAACCGAAUGACAUCACCCACCAUUUUUGGCAAAUUCCAUAUCCCUCAUGAUGGAAUCCGGGAGAUUUCAAAGAAAGCUCCUAGCGGGUUAUGGGAGGCUCACUAUUACCAAGCCCACCUCACGAUUAUACGAUGUUGGCUAGCAAAAAUAAUAAUGACAGGGUACGCUUACCCAUUCACAACAACCUCUUGUGAUUACCCAUCUUUUUGGCCUCUAGAGAACAAUGCCUCACGAUUAUACGAUGUUGGCACCAUUUCUCUUAGUUAAGUUCUUUCCCACCAUGCCGGUUUAGAUAGGGGUUCAAGCAUGACCUCACGAUUAUACGAUGUUGGCCACACUUGUUGCCUACCUUCACCUCAUCAAAUGUUUUAAAUAAACUCCUCCUGAAUAUAAGCAUGCACUUUGUCACUUCCCCAUUAUAGGGUGAAGGCGGUGUACAAGUCAUAAACGCUUGGAGCCUACCACGGUGGAAGGCCACGAAAAAGUGUUCAAAGCACUCUUACGCUUACAACUUAAUAUUGUUUGGUAGAGGGAUUUUAAGGUCUCAUCAAUUUUAUUUAUUUAAUCACAUUCAAAUAAAUAAUGUCCUAUUACAACUACUAGUCCAAAGUUUAAUGAAUUUUAGUAGCAUAUAAUAUCCCCACUAUUCGUUUUCAUAAAACAAAUCAAUAUCAAAACAUUUUUCAAAAUAUUGGAGAUAUACAUAACUACUAAUUGUAUUCAUUAUAGUUUAGUAGCGUAUGAUACUCCCACUAUUUGUUUUAAGAAAAACAAAUCAAUAUCAAAAACGAAUUUUUUCAAAUAUUGGAAGUAACUACUACUACUAAGGGUUUUUGCAUUCCUUUGAAAUUGGACUUUAUAGUUAUCUUAGGCUCUUGGAUGACCAUGGACUUAUUAGGUUAUUGCAACAACGAGCCAACAUUGUUGAAUAUAAACUCGGGGAGGUUGUGUCAAUUUAAUUACGUGCUUAUCAAUCCAAUUAAAACAUUUUCAUUGAGCCAUUAGAAAUGAAAGACAAUCAUUCAUUGCUAAUUUGGGCAUUGGACCCUUUUAAUCUUUAAUCUCAUGUCAAAAACCCUCUUUUAGUUAUGUCUCCUUACCAAUAGUUAAAGAAACUCUAGUCUAGCACUAGAGGGAAUCAACUAACGAAUAGAGAUUAAGAAGUAAUAAGAAUUACAAACCGAUUUGUACAAAUUCCUAUAAAUUACAUAUACUAAAAGGGGAGAGAUAGAUUAACGUCAAACGUGAUAAGGUCCAAUUAAACAGUAAUUAAAACACAUUCCCAAGGUUCAAACAAUUUGAUUUUAGCGCCUUCUCUCAUAGCUCAAUUAUCGUUUAAGGCAUAAGUCCAUAGUCACCCAUUUUAUAACUACUUAAACACAUUUAAAUAAUCAUAAUGGAAUGCAACAUAAACAUUUAGAUUUAGUGCAUAUGGGCAUAAUAGUAUUAUGAGUUUAAACAACUAACAAAAUUAAAAUCAAAUAUUUUAACUUUCUAGUUAGUAGGGGCCUAAAUGCAAAUAUGAAAAAGCUAGGGGUCAAACCGUAAAUACUCAAAAGUAUAAAAUAUCUUUUCAAAUUACAAAAGCCCCCCAAGUGGAUAAAUCCACUAGGGUGGCCGGCCAAUUAAUGGGGGGGUGGGAAGUCUCACCCACAUGCUUUAAUUCAAUGCAAAGUAGAAAAAUCCAAAUUUUGCAUGUCACUUGGUUGUGGCAUUAAAAGGCUUUAAUGAGAAACGUGAUGGAAAUCUCCUAGACAAGUCUAGGGUUUUAUAAGUUUUAAUAUAGUUAUGGAUGGUAAGAACAUCAUCCAAAACCAUAAAACCAUGCAUGAAAACCAAAUAAAACCAUUUUCACCCAAAACCAAACUAUGAACACCAAGAACAAAACCAUGAACACUUUUUCAAGAUUUGUGUAUUCUUGGUGAUUUUCAAACCCAAAAACAAAAGUGACAAGGUUUCUACUUUCUAGCUUUAAAAUGAUGUGUGAGUGUCUUACAAUAAAACACAAACACAUGCUCAAAAAAAAAAAAAAACCCCCAAAACCGUGCCAACCACAAAGAACAAAACCCCAAAUUUUGUUCAUGACUUAUUCUUCAUUCAUGCAUACAAAACAUCUUUUUACAUGCAUACCUUUUUCAACUCUUGAUUUAUAAUUUUUCAACCAUUAAAAAACAAAAGAUAAACAUACUUUUAAAUGAAGAAAUAAUAUGUCAAACUAGUUCUAAACUCAUUUUUCAUUCAUGCAUACAAAACAUCUUUUGCAUACAUAUCUUUCUCAACUUUUGACUAACAUUUUUCAACUAUUGAAAAACAAAAGAUAAACAUACUUUGAAUGAAACAAUAAUAUGUCAUAUCUAAAUGACUAUCAUGCAUAUACAAAUCAAAUUUAAUAUACGAAAGUAGCGGAAGCAUUAAUAACAUAUUAACAAAGCUAUAGUCAUGCAAAUCCCCUUCAAGGUUCAUAGGUUUAUAUAUUAUGCAUCAUAUAAAAUUUAGAGAAAAGAACAAAGUGAAGGUUUAGUCUUAUACCUCUUGAUCUAGACUUGAGACCAAGGAUGGACCACCUCCAAGCCCUUUGUUCCUUGAACUCCUUGAGCCUAGCUUCCCUCCUUGCCUCCUCCACUUUGAUAGAAUGAGUGCUCCUAGGUUCUCUUCAAGUUUCCAAAGUAGGAAACCUCUAAAGAUCCUCACCCACUAGAGUAGUGAGAAGGAUGAAGGAAUAACCAAAGGGUGAAAGAUAUGUUAGUAAAAUCACCCCAAGGUGGCCGGCCUUUGUGUAGUUAUUGGAGAGAUAUUCUUUUGCCUCUUUGUUGUUUUUAACCACACAAAAACCCUAAUGAACAAUAUCACUAUAAAGUUCCUUAUAUAGACAUAAGAAACCUAGCCAACAACUUGACUAAAUAUCUCACCCUUUCCACACCUAAAAUGGCCGGCCCUCUUUGUGUUGUUUGGGCUUUGGGCUUUCAUUUAUUUCAAGUCAUCCAAUGCUUGAAUAAAAGCCCAAUGGGUUUAGGCCCAAUGGGCCCAAUUAAACCCGAACAUUUCUUUAAGCCCAAAACGAUCAUUAUCGCUUUUAUGAUUUCUU